AAGACCUUGCGCUUUUGGAGCGGCCGAUGCCUGAUUAGCUUGUUGGUGAGGUAAAAGCUCACCAAGGCUUCGAUCAGUAGCUGGUCUGAGAGGACGACCAGCCACACUGGGACUGAGACACGGCCCAGACUCCUACGGGAGGCAGCAGUGGGGAAUUUUGGACAAUGGGGGCAACCCUGAWCCAGCCAUGCCGCGUGAGUGAAGAAGGCCUUCGGGUUGUAAAGCUCUUUCAGCCGGAACGAAACGGUCACGGCUAAUACCUGUGACUACUGACGAUACCGGAAGAAGAAGCACCGGCUAACUACGUGCCAGCAGCCGCGGUAAUACGUAGGGUGCGAGCGUUAAUCGGAAUUACUGGGCGUAAAGCGUGCGCAGGUGGUUUUGUAAGUCAGAUGUGAAAUCCCCGGGCUUAACCUGGGAACU
rnacentral:rRNA from 1 species